AAAUCCCGAUGGCGAAGGCAGCCAUCUGGCCUUAUACUGACGCUGAGGUACGAAAGCAUGGGGAGCAAACAGGAUUAGAUACCCUGGUAGUCCAUGCCGUAAACGAUGUCUACUAGCCGUUGGGGCCUUUGAGGCUUUAGUGGCGCAGCUAACGCGAUAAGUAGACCGCCUGGGGAGUACGGUCGCAAGACUAAAACUCAAAUGAAUUGACGGGGGCCCGCACAAGCGGUGGAGCAUGUGGUUUAAUUCGAUGCAACGCGAAGAACCUUACCUGGUCUUGACAUAGUAAGAACUUUCCAGAGAUGGAUUGGUGCCUUCGGGAACUUACAUACAGGUGCUGCAUGGCUGUCGUCAGCUCGUGUCGUGAGAUGUUGGGUUAAGUCCCGCAACGAGCGCAACCCUUUUCCUUAUUUGCCAGCACUUCGGGUGGGAACUUUAAGGAUACUGCCAGUGACAAACUGGAGGAAGGCGGGGACGACGUCAAGUCAUCAUGGCCCUUACGACCAGGGCUACACACGUGCUACAAUGGUCGGUACAAAGGGUUGCUACCUAGCGAUAGGAUGCUAAUCUCAAAAAGCCGAUCGUAGUCCGGAUUGGAGUCUGCA
rnacentral:rRNA from 2 species